GGAAGUUGCUGGAUCUGGAAAAGCUUUCCCUUCAGGACUGAAGGAAGGAAAAGGCAUCUGUGUUUUGUGAGCCGUUGGAAUGAGAAGCCAUUUGAAUCCUACCUUCAGCACUGCCUUUGCCCCAGGACUUAGGAGCAAAUCUGUCUAUAUUGAGAAGUAAUUAAGAAGGGAGAUCUGAGAGCCUGGAAGACAAGCAGGAAUACUCUUCUUAUUCCGACUUCGUGUCCUAAAUUUAAUAAUCUGGAUGCUGCUUUGUUCUCACAAUCAUGCCAAAAACUCUACCU
rnacentral:lncRNA from 1 species